rnacentral:rRNA from 1 species
AUUGAACGCUGGCGGCAGGCCUAACACAUGCAAGUCGAACGAGUGGCGGACGGGUGAGUAAUGUCUGGGAAACUGCCUGAUGGAGGGGGAUAACUACGGGAAACGGUAGCUAAUCCCGCAUACCAUCAGAUGUGCCCAUAUGGGAUUAGCUUGUUGGUGGGGUAACGGCUCACCAAGGCGACGAUCCCUAGCUGGUAUGAGAGGAUGACCAGGCACACUGGAACUGAGACACGGUCCAGACUGCUACGGGAGGCAGCGGUGGGGAAGAUUGGACAAUGGGCGCAAGCCUGAUGCAGCCAUGCCGCGUGUAUGAAGAAGGCCGUCGGGUUGUAAAGUACUUUUAGCGGGGAGGCGUUACCUGCAGAAGAAGCACCGGCUAACUCCGUGCCAGCAGCCGCGGUAAUAC